GUAGUCCACACCGUAAACUAUGAGAACUAGUUGUGGUGGGUAUUGACCCCUGCCGUAACAAAGCAAACGCGUUAAGUUCUCCGCCUGGGGAGUACGGUCGCAAGACUAAAACUCAAAGGAAUUGACGGGGGCCCGCACAAGCGGUGGAUCAUGUGGUUUAAUUCGAAGCAACGCGCAGAACCUUACCCAGGCUUGAAGUCCUGAGAAUCCUGUAGAGAUAUGGGAGUGCCCUUCGGGGAACUCAGUGAAAGGCGCUGCAUGGCUGUCGUCAGCUCGUGUUGUGAAAUGUUGGGUUAAGUCUCGCAACGAGCGCAACCCCUGUCUUUAGUUGCCAGCAUUAAGUUGGGCACUCUAGAGAGACUGCCGAGGUUAACUCGGA
rnacentral:rRNA from 1 species